AAAAAUACACCGCACCGCGCGAGGGACGAAAACGGCGUCGAACCCUAGCCCUAAUCCAUAUCCCCGCGCCCCUCACUCCUCCCUCCCUCGUCCGCCGCCGCUCCCUCCCACCUCCUCCUCCUGCGCCCUAGGAGCCCCGCCGCCGACUGCUACUCCUCCACCGCCUAGCCUCUUCCUCCUCCUCGCCUUCCCAUCGCUCGCGCGCAGGCUGUCGUGGUCAAGCGCUUCGCGGGCUAACCCGUCUCCACCGCCUGCUCUGGGUUCGCGCGGGACGGGCUCCCCCGCCUCUUCCUCCUCGCGGCCGAGGUCGACUCCUCCGGAGUGAGUCGAGGGUGGGGGCCGGGUCAAGGAUGCUGUUGGCGGUCUGGAUGCAGGCGAUGGUGGCGGUCGGCAGGGGUCUGGCGGGCGUGGCGGGUGAGGGAAGGAGCAGCAAGGCUGCAGGUCGUUCCAUGGCCGAAGAAUAGAUGGAAGAGGAUGAGGGGACGGAUGUGAGGGAGAGGAGGGAAGGGACGGAUGGGGGAGGGAGAGGAGGGCCGGAGAACUAACCGCCUCUGCCGCCGCCGGUUGCUUCAGGGGAGUCAGGAGCGAGAUGGGGUCGCAGCGAGAGGAGCUCGUCCAGGAACGAGCGAACAGGUACGCGGGGUGUGGGCUGCGAGGCGUUUCCGAGCCUUUCCGAGCUUGUCCGCUCGGAAACCUCGCGCGAGCGGUGUAGGUGCGCUGGUGGAUCGCUUGGAAGGCCAAGUUUUCCAAGCCCAAAUCUUGCAGGUUUUCUUUCUCUGUGCCUAGGAUGUGUUUGAUGAAAAUCCAAGAAGGCUGACAGGGGAGGAUUAAUCUAUGUAAGUCAUGUCAUUUCAUUUUUUCUGUAAUUAGUUGCCUAGCCCAACUUUAAGCUGGAAUAAAUUCCUUAUUUUCACUGAAAAUGCCCUGUAUUUAACUAUUUAUUUCUCAUGCUUGGGUGAUGGCUGACCAUGGCAUUUUCUUGUUGGUUCAGGAUAAUUUCUAGCUGCCACUUUGUUUUACCAAUUUCAGGUUGCUUCUCCAUGAGUUUGGGUGUAGUUGCUUCUGCCCUGCAGCACCUUUGCUCAUUGGCCAUGUUGAUUGCUUAUCUUUUGUUCCCUUCACGUCAUUUGCUUGCUCAAGAUUCAUUGUUGUAAAAGGAUUGCAAUUUUUUUUGCAGGUCGGUCUCUCUGGUUCUUUUUGCCGAUGGCCUGAUUUACGCACUGACAACCUCUUACUAUAACGAUUCGGCAUGCUUCUGUUUUAGAUAUGGGAUAUGAAGAAGGGGCGUUCAGCUGGGCCUCAACCGGCCAGACAUCAAGCUCCAGCAAGCACGUGUGCCUACCCUCCUUUGCCAUGUGUUCCUGCAACAACAGCAGAUUGUGUGUGUGUGGUACCAGCCAGAUAAAUACUACACAAAUCAUGUUCAUGACCUAGCAGGCGAUAACGGCGCCACGAGGAUUCGCUGCCGUGAGGAGGACCCCGACCCGUAUGAUGGCCACCGGAAGGUCACACACUUCUUUGGCUCGCUCAGACUGGCUCCAUUGACGGCUUCUCUAAGGCGUUUGCAGAGGAAGCCAAGGGAUACAUGAUACUGGUGUAUUUGUUGGGUUCCUCUUGGCGUGUUGAACAAAAAUUGGCGUUCAACACUGCUAUUUCAAGAUGGUUUGAUCAGUACUAGGGAAAACCCAUAGAUGGAAGGAAAUUAUUGUAGGUAUCUAAGAAUGCUGAUGAUUACACUCGGAGCAAGCCUUGUUGCGGUGCUGCAAGUGUUGCCCCCCUCCUCCCCAAGGGCAAGGUGAAGGAAGGUGCCUGUGUGCUUCUUCUGCAGCUCGCAGCGAGGAUUGCUGUGUCCAACCUGCACAAGAAUGCCAAGAAGUCUUUCUCGGAGACGAUUAAGGACAUGUACCUGCACUACAACGAGAGAUCUGGGCUGCUUCUUUGUGGCUUCCAAACUUGAAAUGUUUGUUUGGAAGUUAGUUUAGUUUUUUUUGUGGAUUCACAGCUUCUCACAUGUAUCAUCCUCCUAGACCUUUAGAUUUCCAAAGAAACUAAAUGAAGAUAUGGUGGUAUGGUCUCAAUAGUACAACUUAAAGCCUUCCAUGCUUUAUAUUUUCUCUGAAAUUUUCUCUUGAAGAAUCAUGUAUCUAUGUUAGAUCCGGUGAGAAAAGGCGGCUUCCAAGUAGA